GCAUUCCAAGAAGACUGAAGGGUGCCAAGCCUGCAGGAAAUGUCCAUCAGACCUGCCUCUCACACCUGGAGUAGGACUGCCCAUCCAACUUCAUGAUGCAGAACUGUCUUUAAAAGGUGACUGCAGAUAUGGAGAGAGGGAUUUCUAACCCUGAUAGAACACGACCAGCUGUCCUGCUGGGGAAAGCUGCAUCCACCAGUGACAUGCUGCUCAAACUGGCCCAGGAUACACUCUACUACCUAAGGAAUAAGCCCCACAUUUGCUAUUUGUGGGUGAAACGAGAGGGUGAGAGAGGAAGGGAGUGUCCGCACAGACAUGAGAAGCCUGCAGAUCCAGAUGACCUCUUGCUGAUCAGAAUAAGAAAGAUCGACUUGUGAAAACAAUGACCCCGUAGCAGAUGAGCUUCUAAAGCAGGCUUCAACCAUGCGUCAUCUGGACCCACUGGUGGAGAAUUCUGCCCCCACUCUAUGUUGAUGGUCUGGGGGAUACCAUUACUGAGACAGAUCUAAGAAAUAAUCUCUACCUGUUGGCGAAAUCUGGAUGGUCACUUGUAUGAGACAGCAGUGUGCUCUCAUCAGCUUUCCACAGGGCAGGCUGCGGAAAUGGUGCUGAGAAGUACUAUUGUAAAUUGAUUGUCCAUGGCUGCAGACUCACCAUCAAAUGGAAGAAGAUUCCAAGAUCUCAAAAGGAAAAAGAGAAGGAUGGAACCACAGACUCUGGGACCCUGCCAGAGCCUAUUUCAGUGCUGCCAGGAGCUCCUCCUCCCCCUGCAGCUCUGGUCCCCACCUUGGAGCCUCCUUCCAAGGAGUGAGACUACCUUUCUGACUUUUUCUGACCAUAGACACCUUUUCUGACUUUUUCUGUCCUUGGCACCUGCUGAGGACAGCAGACCCAGGGACCCGGGCUCCUGGGCCCAUUCUUGCCCAGCUUCUUCUUGAUCAUGUGACUUGAAGGCAUUCUUGUGCAGUGGAAGCAGGGCCCCAGGACCAUCUGAUAGAUCGAUGGUCUCUGGCCUCUGCUCCACUGAUGGUCAGAUGGUGGCCACUCAGGGUGUGAGAGCCCAGCCAUCGCUGUUUCCUUGAGUUGAAGAGGUUGGAGGCUGGUCCACCUGCUCCUAUCCCACCCUCGGCAAUGUGGACGGUUGCUCUUUGAGCCUGAUGGUGACUCAGGAAGGGACCUGGUGCUGGAGACCACCUGGGGGGCAGGUCACAGUGCAUCCUUCUGAGCUCAGCCAUGGAGGCCUAAAAGUGCCUGAGAACCACAUCAUCGUCCAGAGCCCAGGUAUGAGACACUUCAGUCUCGGGAGAACUCCCACAGGACAAAUAGGAGAGCCUCAGGAGAGGGUCUAGGUUUGGGGCUGGGCGUCAGGCCAGGAGGGGUCUCCUGGGAGCGGUCUGUGCCUUCACCCUGUUUCUGCCCUGGGCACCUCGCACUGGGCAGUGCUGGGUCCUUUCUGGACACCCCUGGGGUCCAGCUCUGCACAGGAGGCAAUGGAUACGGGAAGGCCCAGGCAGGGAAGUGCUCGCCACACUCCUGCCUUUCAUCUGAGUUGUGUCAGGAGUGGAUUCAGUUUCCAGGAGGACUCAUGGUGCCCUGUCCAGCCCACCAGGGCUGGAUUGGUUUGGCCCUCCCUCUGGGCUAAAGCAGAGGGUUCUGUGGGCAGUGUGGGCACUGGCCUCGGGCCAGGUUUGAUGUACUUGUUGCUCCCCCAGCGCCCUUGGGCACAUGGGGACAGGGUUCUGUGCACUUUCAAUGCCACAUGUGCCCUGGCUGUGAGCAUGUGCUUGCCCUGCAGAAGGCAGAUGUACCAGAGCUUCAGGAUGAGCUUGUGAUGAGCUUGAGGUAGGAGUUUGUGGGGACAGCAGGCAUGGGAGGACCUGGUCCUUCAAGGUAGAGGGCUGGUGGCCUGAGCAGGGCCUACUGGGGCCUCAGUCUGUGGUGCUGGGGGUCCCCUAUGUAUGGGGUGAGACCUCCCACAGGAGGCUGGAUCAGAUAAGGUCUUGCAGCUUCUUAUAGGGGUGGUCUCAUCUCCAUCAAAUGUGGCCCCUGAAAGAAGGGGCUCCCCAAGUACUCUCCCAAGAUGAGUCCUGGCCCAGUCUGCCCAGGAUGCUGGCCCUGAGUCCCAGCCCCAGCCGUGUGAUGCCCCCUCUCAGGCAGGGCAUGGUUUGUGUGCCCUGCAGGGACCUGCCUCUGCCUCCUGUGCAGAGGAAGGGAGCUGGGUCCUUCUGGAGGGGCCAAACCCCUCAGCUGGGGAAGCCAAGCCCUGUAGGGCAGCAGGGUCCCUGGCCUGGGGUCUCCUGUGCAUACUUGUCCCAUCAAUCAAGCACUGUAGGAGCCAUUUUAAGGUGGCAAUCUGGGUACACAACAUUUGCUUAUCUUCACAGAAGGAGCAGAGGUGUUCAGAGCCCCCUGGACUGCCCUGAAAACCUCACUAUUCCAGGCCCCUCUGCAGACUCUUCCCAAGGCCAGAACUCCAGGCAGUAGGCUGGGCUGUCACCCUCUUCUCUGAGACCCUACCCCUGUCCUGAGACCUCCCCAUUGUCCCUCAGAUGCCCCAUCCCUCCGGAUUGCCCACCUCCCCUGGGAUCCUCCAUGCCCCACAUGUCUUACUUGAUGCUGCAGCGCUCUCAACAUGGCGUGGCUUAUGAAGGUGUGGCUCACAUCUAGGUCAUUCUGGUGCACGUUCGCUGAGGACAUCUUGGCCUGCUUCAUUUUCUGUAGAGCAGGGCCAAGCCUCAGAACAGACACAAGACUCACUGUCAAAAUUGCUGUCAUGAAAUAGCGGUUCUGGAAGGAAAGGAGGCUUUUUCUGUAGAAACUUCAUUUCCAAAGCCAGGGAAAGUCAGCAGCAUGCAGCUCACCUGUGUUGCCCAUGCCACUGUCUGCCCAGGAUUUGUGACUGACCCCUUCCGCCCCCUUAGGGUUGACUUUCCCUCCAUCUGGGUAACUGGGCUUCUGACACGGUCCGGCCUUUGCAUCCUGCUGUGGCUGGGACUGGAAGGACCAGACCUGGUGUUUCCCUGGGUUCUUGGCCUUCGCCUUCUCAACAUUCAGUAGGGGUGACCAUGCUGGGCCCCAGACAUCUGUGAGGUUUCCUUUGUAGAUCCAAUGAGACAUCUGUGGGCAGAAGAAUGCUCUGGUCAGACAGGCCUCAGGGUGACCCCAAGGGAGAUUUGAACCUAAGGAUUCUGGGUUUCCAGCCUUUGGCUCCACGGUUCCUCAAGAGAGGUUCAGUCUGCCUAGGACUGGGCUUCCCUUCCCAUGAAUAAAGAGUGAGCAAGAGCUCAGGUUGUGAACUCUGAUCAGGAUUUACUCCUUCCUUUGGGGUGAUCAGAAGGUGUUCCUGUUCCUGGCUUAGAAGUGGCCCAGGCCCUGGCAUCAGAUUCCUCCCAGCAAGGUGAUCCUUGCAGGGAUGGGCAGGAGGGCUGGGGACCAGGCCUGUUGUCCUUUUGGUGAGGAAAGUGUACCCUUCUCUGAGAGGCAGGCAGCACCAGGCAGCAACAAUGGGCACCUGUCCUCAACCCUGAAGAGUGGUCACGGGGGACACUCAUCCACCUCUGUGCCUUCUUGCUGUUCCUAGAUUUAUUCCAGUUGUCAAGCAUUCAUAGCCAUUUAUCUGUCCAUCUGAUGCCCUGAUGUUUUUGCUGUAGAUAAGAAGUGAUUGAGUGAGCUGAGCUGCCAGGCUUCCUGGAGUUAUUCUUGGAUGCUGGGUCAUGUGCUUAGGGGCCCCGAUGUGACUGAACUGGAAGGACCAGAUAGGACAGAACCCAGUCCCUGAUGAGUGGGCACUGGUGGCCUGGCCUCAUGACCACAGGACACACUGUUCCCAGGGCACAGACACCCUGGGCUUUGGUUGGAUCUUGGCCUCUAGGUAGGGCUCUGGUGGGCAGUGGGCAGUGACUCCUGAGACACCACUGUGAUUCUCGGUGGUGGCUGUGGUAAAACACCUGCAGGGCUGGAGUUUAGUGUGAGAUUCAGCAGGAACUGUGGCCUCUCCCAGUGUCAAUGUGUCACUCCCACUCACCAGCACCCAUGCCCACAGGCCAUGGCCUCUGCCUCACCAAACCCCUGCCAAGUCGCCCAUCUAUGGAGCAGCUUCCGUGCAGCAGGGUCGGGCUCUUACCUCCACCUCCAAGGCACAGACAGGGGCAGCUCUGUGUCACUGUAAGGCCAUGAGGAGAGCUGAGGACCUGGACCAGGCUGGGGGCCAUCCUCUUUCCUGAGCAGGCCUCAGGGAAGGACCAGCCCCAUCCUCAUCGGACCCAGGUCUCAGCCCAGGAGCCUGCAUAGGGAAGAAAGGACAGACAGGGCCUCCAUGCUGGCUGACACUCAGGAGGGGCCGGGGCAAUGGAGCAGAGGGAGCACAGGGCCAGGCACAGGCUGCUCAGGAUCCACGGGGGCUCAGGCUGCACAAUGGGGCUGCCCCUCCUGGGCUGCAGGCAGCAUCCCCUAUGGGAGCUGAGAAAGUCCAGUCCUGAGAUGGGGCAGGUCUGCCCAGGGGUGUGUGGCUGGGCCCUGACAGCAGUCUCCUAAAAUGUGACUCUAUCGCCAGGGAUUAGUCAAUCGGUUCCAAUUAGUCAUUCAGUUCCAAGAAUGCUGAGAAGUACCCAGUAGAGCGAGGAUUCACCUGGAGCCCAUCCUGUCUAAUGGACUCUGACCAUCCCGCGUCCACCUGCCUCUCCUGCAUGUCGGUCACCACCCUUUUUCCUCAUUUCUCCAUUGUGUCUGACCCAGAGGCUGCGAUCCUCUCUCCAGUCACAGUGGCCCUUCUUUUACCCUUGUCCUGUCAGAGUGCCUGAGCAAGACUCCCCAGAUCCAUCCACAUGCCUGGCUUGUCCACUUACUAACUGUGCUGCUGUGCAUGGCCGGGGUGGCACCAGAGGCAAUGAGGGUGACUGAGGGCCCCACAGGUGGCCAGCUUGGCCCUUUACCCCAUCCUUAGCCUCAGGGGGUUCUCAGGGCUGUCAGCCAGCAGCCCUGGCUUGGGGCACCUGGCUGUCCUCCUCCCACUGUUCUGACUCAGCCUCACCCACCUGUCCUCUGUCUGUGGUGCUGACCAAGCCAGCAGGUAGCAGGUCCCCAGAGGGUGCUGCUGAGCUUUGGGAACCCACCGAGGCUCCUCUGCUGAAGGUCCCAGGUGAGUCGCUGCCCCUGGUUCUACAUCAUCCACUGUCCUCUUCAGCACCAUCCACCCCACGCCAGGCCAGCUCCAUGCAGAUGCAUCCGCGAGUCACCAGUCUCAGGGUCCUCUGUUGUAGGAUGGAGAUUACUGUACCUGCUGUACAAAUUCGUAUUUAUUGUGUGAAAUAAAGUAUAGAAGCUAAAGUAAAUGAGGACUUUGGUUUGCAUUUUCCUGAUGAUCACUGAUGCUGAGCACUUGUUAGCCAUUUUUAUAUCUUUUUUUAAAAGAUAAAUAUCUAUUCAGGUUCUUCGCUUGUUUUUAAAUCAGGUUAUUAGAUUUUGGUGAGUUUUCUCUCUUCUAUUCAGUUGUGUGGCUUCUUAUGUAUUUUGAUUUUAACCCCUUAUGAGAUAUAUUGUUAGCAAAUAUCUUCUCUGAGGUCAUAAGCUGCUUUUUAAUUUCAUUGAUUGAUUUCUCCUGUGCAGAAGCUUUAGGGUUAGAUAUACUCCUACUUGUAUUUUUGUUUUUUGUUGCUUGUGUUUUUAAUGUCGUAUUUAAUAAAUUAUUAUCUGAACCAAUGUCAA